rnacentral:rRNA from 1 species
UACGUAGGGGGCUAGCGUUAUCCGGAAUUAUUGGGCGUAAAGAGCUCGUAGGCGGUUUGUCGCGUCUGCCGUGAAAGUCCGGGGCUCAACUCCGGAUCUGCGGUGGGUACGGGCAGACUAGAGUGAUGUAGGGGAGACUGGAAUUCCUGGUGUAGCGGUGAAAUGCGCAGAUAUCAGGAGGAACACCGGUGGCGAAGGCGGAUCUCUGGGCCUUACCUGACGCUCAGGCGCGAAAGCUAGGGGAGCGAACAGG